rnacentral:lncRNA from 1 species
AUAUUUCAUACAUGUAUUUAGAAUAUUCAGUUUACAAUUCUAAAGUUAUUUCGAUGAAAAAAAUUUAAAAAUGUCAGUUUAAUAAAUUAUAACCCAUCUAGUUAUUGCACGGCCCCUGUUUAAAUCAAUCAGCUCUCCCUGCAAAACCAAAAUAAAUAAACUCUCCCUCGAAUAUUUAUUUAAAAAAAAACGAACAAAGUAAGACUUACAAAAUGUAUCACUUAUUUUAUGUCUUCCUACUUCAAAGUUUACAUUUUAAAACACUUAGAAGUAAAAAUAAAAUUGUCAGGAAGUAAGUAUACAGAUUGUACGGUACCUAACAGUUUUUAACUUUAUAAAGCAUGAUCACUUAGGGAGCUACCAUUUGAUUUUUAUGGGGGGGCUAGGAUGAAAUUUGAAAAAAAUAGGCAGGACAGGAGUUUUGAGUAAAAAAAAAAGGCAGGAUGAGACAAGUGCCAAAAAAAAAAAGUCAGGACGACAAUUUAGGUAAAAAAAAAGUCAGGAUAAACUAAAAAAAAAAAAUCAGGACCAAACAGAGUGAAAAAUAAAAAGGCAGGACAGAGAUAACAGCUAAAAAAAAAUGCAGGACAAAAUUUUUCAUCCUAGCCCCCC